rnacentral:rRNA from 1 species
UUAUGUCUAAUAUUCAAACUGGCGCCGAGCGUAUGCCGCAUGACCUUUCCCAUCUUGGCUUCCUUGCUGGUCAGAUUGGUCGUCUUAUUACCAUUUCAACUACUCCGGUUAUCGCUGGCGACUCCUUCGAGAUGGACGCCGUUGGCGCUCUCCGUCUUUCUCCAUUGCGUCGUGGCCUUGCUAUUGACUCUACUGUAGACAUUUUUACUUUUUAUGUCCCUCAUCGUCACGUUUAUGGUGAACAGUGGAUUAAGUUCAUGAAGGAUGGUGUUAAUGCCACUCCUCUCCCGACUGUUAACACUACUGGUUAUAUUGACCAUGCCGCUUUGCUUGGCACGAUUAACCCUG